UUUACAUUGUAAACAUGGAGCCCAGUCAGUUGUCGUCGGAAAUGGUGAUUAUGUGGAAAAUAUUCAUGACAACAUAAGAGGUUCAUUGGAUUCUCUGCAGAUAGUAUUAAAAGAUUGGCCCAGGAAAGAUCAUGGAGAGAAAAGACUCCCCAGGAGAGACAUUUUCAGGAAAGCGUAAGGUGUCUUCAGUUAUAAGCUAUGAUAGUGAUCUAGAAGAUGAUGGAAAAUAUGCAAGGACUGAUGGCAAUGGCGACAGGAAACGCUUUAGCCGGUCAUCAUCCAUUACUUCUCAAGGCACCUCCGUGCAGACGCAGUAAGUGCAAAAUCAACUAC